rnacentral:rRNA from 1 species
UACGAAGGGGGCGAGCGUUGUUCGGAUUUACUGGGCGUAAAGGGCGCGCAGGCGGCUAUCCAAGUCAGGCGUGAAAGCCCCGGGCUUAACCUGGGAGGUGCGUCUGGGACUGGGUGGCUAGAGUUCGGGAGAGGAGAGUGGAAUUCCCAGUGUAGAGGUGAAAUUCGUAGAUAUUGGGAAGAACACCGGUGGCGAAGGCAGAUCUCUGGGCCGUAACUGACGCUGAGGAGCGAAAGCGUGGGGAGCGAACAGG